rnacentral:rRNA from 1 species
GACGAACGCUGGCGGCGUGCUUAACACAUGCAAGUCGAACGGAAAGGCCCUGCUUUUGUGGGGUGCUCGAGUGGCGAACGGGUGAGUAACACGUGAGUAACCUGCCCUUGACUUUGGGAUAACUUCAGGAAACUGGGGCUAAUACCGGAUAGGAGCUCCUGCUGCAUGGUGGGGGUUGGAAAGUUUCGGCGGUUGGGGAUGGACUCGCGGCUUAUCAGCUUGUUGGUGGGGUAGUGGCUUACCAAGGCUUUGACGGGUAGCCGGCCUGAGAGGGUGACCGGCCACAUUGGGACUGAGGUACGGCGCGGACUCCUACGGGAGGCAGCAGUGGGGAAUAUUGCACAAUGGGCGGAAGCCUGAUGCAGCAACGCCGCGUGCGGGAUGACGGCCUUCGGGUUGUAAACCGCUUUCGCCUGUGACGAAGCGUGAGUGACGGUAAUGGGUAAAGAAGCACCGGCUAACUACGUG